GACGAGGACCGCGGUAGCACCGCGAACGAAGGGUUCGAGCAGGUCGUGGGCGAUGACGUCGAGCUGGUGAGAGUCGAGGUAGUAGCCGUCCGGCGAGGUCGGUCCGAGCCGCAUGCGCUCCGAACGGGGUCGGUGAAAGGAGUCGGUCGUAGACCGCACGACCUGCGCGCCUGUGGCGGCCAGUCGAGAUGCAAGCUCAUCCGCGAAGGUCGACUUUCCGGCGCCAGAUCGGCCGUCGAUCCCGACCAAGACUCGUUCCGGACGCGCGGUGAGGACCUGCUUUGCGACCGCCGCAAGCACAGCUUCACGAGCGGGCGCCACCACUGGAUCUGGAUUUCCAUCGAGGCCCGAAGGCAUAACAAACGCUAACGGCGCGG
rnacentral:misc_RNA from 1 species